UGGCUAUAGACCAGGCUAUGUGGGGGCCGUCAAACCCCAGAAGCCAGGAUUCCAGUACAGAAUUGGGCUGGGAGCCCAGCCAGGUGAAGGGGGUACAGUCUGGGGUUCCAGGGUCUGCAUCUGGGCGGCCUCUUCCUCCCAGGGGCGGGAUUGGUGAAUGAUGGAGAGGGGUGACGGGGCGUCUCCAAGAUCCUUGGCUUCUGGCUUGGCCCUGAAGGGGAACCAUAGGCGCUGUGUCCCCAGCUUAGCUCAGCCCUCCCACCCCGACAAGCCCCCCACCUCAGAAUGGCCCUGGAGCAGGUCCUGAGGGGGAUGGGAGGAGCUGGGGUCCAGAUGCUGGGGUUCUGGGGUGGAUCUGAGUUGGGGGCUCCUAGGUACCUCAUCUGCUCCCCAUUUUCCCAAAGGCUUUAGAGGGGACAUGAAGGCACAGGAGCCAGGCUUGACAGCCCAGAACCGAUUUGGAUUUGGAGCAGGCCUUGGAGGGAAUGUGAAGCCUCUGAAGCCAGGAUAUGGGAAAAGGCUGAGAGCAGGGGCCUUCCCUGGGGCUGGAACCCAGCCAGGAUAUGGCCAUGGAAAUGGACCGGGAGUCCAGCCAGGCCUAGGAGCGGGGAUGAAGCCUCAGAUGCCAGGCCUGGGAGCUCCAAACGGCUAUGGACCAGGAAGGGGCAGGGCUGGGGUUCCAGGAGGUCUAUUUGGGGGUUAUGAAGGCCCAGAAGCCAGGUGCUGGAGAGGGCAUGAAACCUCAGAAGCCAGGCCUGCGAGGGACCUUGAAGCCUCAGAAGUCAGGACACGGCCAUGAAAAUGGGCCCUGGCCAGGUCCCUGCAAUGCGAGGGUCGCUCCGAUGCUCCUCCCCAGGUCGGACAAAGAGGGUGGCUGGGGCCUGAAAUCCCAGCCCCCUUCCGCAGUGCAGAAUGGCAAGUUACCAGGGCACCAGCCUCCAAAUGGCUAUGGACCGGGAGCAGAACCAGGUUUUAAUGGUGGCCUCGAGCCACAGAAAAUUGGGCAGGCCGGGGUGCUGUGGAACUCUCGCUGGCCCACCCUCCAGGCCUGGGGGGCCGGCUUGAAGCCUGGAUAUCAGGCUGGAGAUGAAUAUGCUGAGGCCAGGAGCCAGCCAGGGGGCCCCGACGUGAAGAGAGGCAGCAAUGGCCA
rnacentral:lncRNA from 1 species